ACAGUUGACAUUAAUAAAGUCUAGCUAACUGUGGUGCCAUAUGUGUUUACUUGUAGCACUUACAAGUCAAAAGUUCAUAAAUCUCUGAGUGAAAAUCCAGCCAGGUCUACAAGUGAGUUUCCAGUCCAGCAAAAUCUAGUGAAUAAGACACUAUUUAAAAUACAAACAUAUCAGUAAGUAUCUCAUAGCAACAAUUUUUAAAUAGAAGAAAAAAGCAUCAUUGAAUGACAAACCAAGCUUUUAGUAAAUAGCAAACGUUAUGUUAAUGAUAAGUGCUUCAUUUACAUGAACACAUAGGAAACUUUAAAGAUCCACCUAAUCAAGUAAAACCUGAUUAAUGCAGAAUGUUGUUAAAGUAGCAUCUUCUUUUCUUCAAUGAUUUCUCCUGAUAUUACAAGUAUCUAGUUCUUUUGUACAUUCCCUAAUUUUGUUGUUUUUCCUAAGCACUCUUUUCCCCCUUUGUAUACAGAUCUAAAUGUGAAUAUAAUUCAAUACCCUGUAGUCAUCAUUGCCCAGAAAGUGCCUUGAAUUUAUCCCUGACCAAUUAAUACAGGGAUUUAGGAAGUGCCCCCACUUUCAUACUAGCAAUAGGACAGCUUAAAGCUCAUGGCUGCCUACCUUGUGUCAUUAGCUUUAGAAAAGAUUUUGAAUCUCUGCAGCCUGGUAACCAUGCACGGAUGUGUGACUGGAGGGUUAUGCUAGCUCACUAGCACAGACCAGGGGCGGGGUACAGUGUGAUUACUUAAGUCAGUGCAGCAGGUCCUGCUCAGAGAAGAGGCAGCCAAGGAUGCCUGUUGUAACUACCCUAAGAAUGAUCAGCAAGGCAAUGCAGCAAACAAGGAAGUAUGAAUAAAUUUUCCAAUCCAUGAACACGAUUUAGAAGGGUGAAUAUUCCCAGUUAGUCACCAACUGAAACGUCUUCAUGUUCAAUGAGAUAGAAUUUAGAGAGUCAUCUCAAAGACAAAACCUAUACUACUUGGGACAUCUAAAGUAUGCUCUUCUUCAGAGUCAUUGAAAGAAUGAUGCAGUACCCUGUUUUCUACGACAUCAUAUUAUACACAAGUCAUCACAAUUGUUAAAGAUCAAUGAGAAUCCUCUGAGGCUGCCUGAGACACAUAAUGGAUGAUGAGAAAUGUUUUGCUGUGAGGAGGUAUGCUGAGAUCUGUCUUAAUUGUAAGAGCCAGGAGCAUUAUGGAUAUAAGGAAAAGACCAUAUAACACUCCUCAUAACAUAAAGUGACACAAAUUCUGUAGG
rnacentral:sRNA from 1 species